GACUCCUGCCAGAAAGACUGAAUGUUACAGCAAUCCUUGUGAAUGAAAAAUGGGAAAAGGGAGCCUGAGGACAUACUUUCUAUUGCCUUCACCUGAAGGAUGACAUCAUUCAUCGGAUGGUCCACUCAGGCCCAGUCACCCUUUCUUCAUUGGAGCUGCCCUUUAAUAAUAGAAGGUGAGUGUAACAGAUGAUGAGAAGCUGCAAGGCACGUGAAAUGCAGGUUUUGCACUGAUUCCUGAGGAGGGGGGGGGGUCACCAUCCAAGCCCCUCCCUACGCACCUCCCAUCACAUAAGUAGUUGUGGAGAGUCUGAUGUGCAGAUAAUCAGAGCCAGGAGGACCUUGCGAGUGAUUGUGAAGAGUUGUCAUCACUCUCUGCACUGCCUGAAACCCCCACCCCCC